UGACGACGAGGCACUACGGUGCUGAAGCAACAAAUGCCCUGCUUCCAGGAAAAGCCUCUAAGCAUCAGGUAACAUCAAAUCGUACCCCAAACCGACACAGGUGGUCAGGUAGAGAAUACCAAGGCGCUUGAGAGAACUCGGGUGAAGGAACUAGGCAAAAUGGUGCCGUAACUUCGGGAGAAGGCACGCUGACACGUAGGUGAAGUGAUUUACUCAUGGAGCUGAAGUCAGUCGAAGAUACCAGCUGGCUGCAACUGUUUAUUAAAAACACAGCACUGUGCAAACACGAAAGUGGACGUAUACGGUGUGACGCCUGCCCGGUGCCGGAAGGUUAAUUGAUGGGGUCAGCGCAAGCGAAGCUCCUGAUCGAAGCCCCGGUAAACGGCGGCCGUAACUAUAACGGUCCUAAGGUAGCGAAAUUCCUUGUCGGGUAAGUUCCGACCUGCACGAAUGGCGUAAUGAUGGCCAGGCUGUCUCCACCCGAGACUCAGUGAAAUUGAACUCGCUGUGAAGAUGCAGUGUACCCGCGGCAAGACGGAAAGACCCCGUGAACCUUUACUAUAGCUUGACACUGAACAUUGAGCCUUGAUGUGUAGGAUAGGUGGGAGGCUUUGAAGUGUGGACGCCAGUCUGCAUGGAGCCGACCUUGAAAUACCACCCUUUAAUGUUUGAUGUUCUAACGUGGACCCGUUACCCGGGUUGCGGACAGUGUCUGGUGGGUAGUUUGACUGGGGCGGUCUCCUCCUAAAGAGUAACGGAGGAGCACGAAGGUUGGCUAAUCCUGGUCGGACAUCAGGAGGUUAGUGCAAUGGCAUAAGCCAGCUUGACUGCGAGCGUGACGGCGCGAGCAGGUGCGAAAGCAGGUCAUAGUGAUCCGGUGGUUCUGAAUGGAAGGGCCAUCGCUCAACGGAUAAAAGGUACUCCGGGGAUAACAGGCUGAUACCGCCCAAGAGUUCAUAUCGACGGCGGUGUUUGGCACCUCGAUGUCGGCUCAUCACAUCCUGGGGCUGAAGUAGGUCCCAAGGGUAUGGCUGUUCGCCAUUUAAAGUGGUACGCGAGCUGGGUUUAGAACGUCGUGAGACAGUUCGGUCCCUAUCUGCCGUGGGCGCUGGAGAACUGAGGGGGGCUGCUCCUAGUACGAGAGGACCGGAGUGGACGCAUCACUGGUGUUCGGGUUGUCAUGCCAAUGGCACUGCCCGGUAGCUAAAUGCGGAAGAGAUAAGUGCUGAAAGCAUCUAAGCACGAAACUUGCCCCGAGAUGAGUUCUCCCUGAGACUUAAAGUCUCCUGAAGGAACGUUGAAGACGACGAC
rnacentral:rRNA from 1 species